GCAAAAUGGUAACUGGAAUUACGACGAUGGAAUGAGGCGUGAGGAAGCUCGAAGAAGAAGCCACCAACAACAGGAACAAAGCGUCAAACACUGCCACCUUUCGGUGGCGUCUUUCUUUUUCUUUCUCUCUCUUUUUCCCGUUUCCGUCAGGGAUUCUGGGGUCUGCUCACUCGCGGAGGCAUUCCGAGGUAAUGGACGGGGCUGGACUCGCGCCGGAAGAAGACAAACAAGAAAGACGCAUUUCUCUACAGAAAGCUGAGGGUGACUUCCCUUGGUUGGAUUCAAGGAGGACGGAGACAACACUCUCA
rnacentral:lncRNA from 1 species